rnacentral:rRNA from 1 species
UACGUAGGGACCAAGCGUUGUUCGGAUUUACUGGGCGUAAAGGGCGCGUAGGCGGUGCGGUAAGUCACUUGUGAAAUCUCUGAGCUUAGCUCAGAACGGCCAAGUGAUACUGCAGUACUAGAGUGCAGAAGGGGCAAUCAGAAUUCUUGGUGUAGCGGUGAAAUGCGUAGAUAUCAAGAGGAAUACCUGAGGUGAAGACGGGUUGCUAGGCUGACACUGACGCUGAGGCGCGAAAGCCAGGGGAGCAAACGGG